rnacentral:rRNA from 1 species
AGUCGACGAACCUUCGGGUUAGUGGCGGACGGGUGAGUAACGCGUGGGAAUCUGCCCUCAGGAGGGGGAUAACGGUUGGAAACGGCCGCUAAUACCCCAUAUGCCGAGAGGUGAAAUGAAUUUCGCCUGAGGAUGAGCCCGCGUCUGAUUAGCUAGUUGGUGAGGUAAGAGCUCACCAAGGCAUCGAUCAGUAGCUGGUCUGAGAGGAUGAUCAGCCACACUGGGACUGAGACACGGCCCAGACUCCUACGGGAGGCAGCAGUGGGGAAUUUUCCGCAAUGGGCGAAAGCCUGACGGAGCAACGCCGCGUGAGGGAUGAAGGCCUCUGGGCUGUAAACCUCUUUUAUCAAGGAAGAAGAUCUGACGGUACUUGAUGAAUAAGCCACGGCUAAUUCCGUGCCAGCAGCCGCGGUAAUACGGGAGUGGCAAGCGUUAUCCGGAAUUAUUGGGCGUAAAGCGUCCGCAGGCGGCCCAACAAGUCUGCUGUUAAAAAGUGGAGCUUAACUCCAUCAGGGCAGUGGAAACUGUUGGGCUCGAGUGUGGUAGGGGCAGAGGGAAUUCCCGGUGUAGCGGUGAAAUGCGUAGAUAUCGGGAAGAACACCAGUGGCGAAGGCGCUCUGCUGGGCCAUCACUGACGCUCAUGGACGAAAGCCAGGGGAGCGAAAGGGAUUAGAUACCCCUGUAGUCCUGGCCGUAAACGAUGAACACUAGGUGUCGGGGGAAUCGACCCCUCCGGUGUCGUAGCCAACGCGUUAAGUGUUCCGCCUGGGGAGUACGCACGCAAGUGUGGAACUCAAAAGAAUUGACGGGGGCCCGCACAAGCG